AGUGAACGCUGGCGGUAGGCCUAACACAUGCAAGUCGAACGGCAGCACAGUAAGAGCUUGCUCUUACGGGUGGCGAGUGGCGGACGGGUGAGGAAUACAUCGGAAUCUACUUUUUCGUGGGGGAUAACGUAGGGACAAUUACGCUAAUAGCGCAUACGACCUACGGGUGAAAGCAGGGGAUCUUCGGACCUUGCGCGAUUGAAUGAGCCGAUGUCGGAUUAGCUAGUUGGCGGGGUAAAGGCCCACCAAGGCGACGAUCCGUAGCUGGUCUGAGAGGAUGAUCAGCCACACUGGAACUGAGACACGGUCCAGACUCCUACGGGAGGCAGCAGUGGGGAAUAUUGGACAAUGGGCGCAAGCCUGAUCCAGCCAUACCGCGUGGGUGAAGAAGGCCUUCGGGUUGUAAAGCCCUUUUGUUGGGAAAGAAAAGCAGCAGGUUAAUACCCCGCUGUUCUGACGGUACCCAAAGAAUAAGCACCGGCUAACUUCGUG
rnacentral:rRNA from 1 species